CUGCAUUUCAGCAUAAUGCUUAUAUGCAGUACGUACAAUUAAAUCAUAUAUAGUGGGACCUCGGUUUACAAACGCCUCGGUUAACAUAAUUUCUGGUUUACAAAUGAAAAUCCAUUGAAAAUAAUGACUCGGUUUACAAUUUUUUUCCUCAAUACAAAGCAAGUUUCCCCAGGAUGCAUUGCACCUGGCAGGUUUAUAGCACCGCCCUCUGCAUGCUAGUAUGGC